rnacentral:lncRNA from 1 species
AAAAAUGGGCGAGACGUAUCCACCAAUCAGAAGAAAGGAAAGGCGGGAGCUAGACAGCCGUUGUUAGGGGCGGAGAGUCAUUUAUCUUGUCAGUGGAUCCAACAUCUUGCUGUCUGUUUUCCAGGGUUUAGGACACAUCGUUGGUGUUGGGACGGUGUCUUUUUGACGAAGGUGCAAAACCAAUGUUUGCUACAGCCAGCUAAACAAAGUUUUCACCCACCUUCCUACACUACCGUUCAAACGUUUGGGGUCACUUAGAAAUGUUUUUUUUUUAAGAAAAGCACUUUUUUUUUUUUUUGUCCAUUAAAAUAACAUAAAAUUGAUCAGUGUAGACAUUUUUAAUGUUGUGAAUGACUAUUGUAGCUGGACACGGCUAAUUUUUAAUGGAAUAUCUACAUGGGCGUACAGAGGCCCAUUAUCAGCAACCAUCACUCCUGUGUUCCAAUGGCACGUUGUGCUAGCUAAUCCAAGUUUAUAAUUUUAAAAGGUGAAUAUAUCAUUAAAAAACCCUUUUGUAAUGAUGUUAGCACAGCUGAAAACUGUGGUGAUUUUAAAGAAGCAAUAAAACUGGCCUUCUUUAGACUAGUUGAGUAUCUGGAGCAAACAGCAUUUGUG